rnacentral:rRNA from 2 species
UCCUCUUCGGAGGACAAAGUGACAGGUGGUGCAUGGUUGUCGUCAGCUCGUGUCGUGAGAUGUUGGGUUAAGUCCCGCAACGAGCGCAACCCUUGAACUUAGUUGCCAUCAUUCAGUUGGGCACUCUAAGUUGACUGCCGGUGACAAACCGGAGGAAGGUGGGGAUGACGUCAAAUCAUCAUGCCCCUUAUGAUUUGGGCUACACACGUGCUACAAUGGACAAUACAAAGGGCAGCAAAACCGCGAGGUCAAGCAAAUCCCAUAAAGUUGUUCUCAGUUCGGAUUGUAGUCUGCAACUCGACUACAUGAAGCUGGAAUCGCUAGUAAUCGUAGAUCAGCAUGCUACGGUGAAUACGUUCCCGGGUC